GAAAAGUAUUUGAAGCCAAAACACAAAUGAAACAACUUACAAAGUGUUGCACAAGAGCAAUGACUGAUAGCAGAAAUCCCACACUUGGACAACGGAGACAAAAGGAUUGCUUCAACUACACAGUGCAAAACCCACAGACACAAAGGGAUGGCACUAUGUAUGGAGUCAGGCCUGCUCGGCACUUUGCACACUGCCAUCUGAAAAUAUCUCUUUACACAUUCAAUUGUCUAGUAUGUUUCCUACACCAGAAUGGAAGAUCAGAAGCCUCAGGAACCUUCUUGUGUGAGUUUUUAUAUACACUGUGUCUAGACCAUAAUAGAGGUUAACAGAUAUUUGCUAAAUAAAUAAAGACAUGCCAGCAAGGCAUGGUGGUGCAAACCUGUCAUCUCAGUGCUCAGGAGGCUAAGGCAGGAAUAUCUACAGAGUUGCCGUGUUCCAAGUCAGCUUCUGAUGGACAAAAGUAGUUUUUAAAACACCUCCAACUGACCACACACUUUCCUCUUUCUGCUGCCUGUAGAAGAGCAUCGCUGUUUGCCAUGAAGCCAUCUUCCCCACCUCUCAGCAGCAUUACCUUCCGGAGAAGCAGCAGCAGUUCACUAGUGAAUUGCCUCAAAGGAGCCAAUUGUGACUCUGAUAGAGUUCACAUCAGGAGCAUCAAUAGAUGCUGCACGGUCGUCAUUCUCCAAAGCAAAGCAUGGCAGGAUCUCCCGAAGACACACGCAGCCUGGAAAGAGAAUUAGUUUAUUUUGACACUUCUACUUCAUCCUCUUACUGCCUACACAGUGAUUUACUGAAGCAGGAGCAGUUCUGAUGCAUGGUGAUUAGGAAGACAAUUGGUUCUUAAUUAUCUAACCAGUUCAGAACACCAAGCUCUCCUC
rnacentral:lncRNA from 1 species